ACGAACGCUGGCGGCGUGCCUCAUACAUGCAAGUUGAGCGCUGAAGGUUGGUACUUGUACCCACUGGAUGAGCAGCGAACGGGUGAGUAACGCGUGGGGAAUCUGCCUUUGAGCGGGGGACAACAUUUGGAAACGAAUGCUAAUACCGCAUAAAAACUUUAAACACAAGUUUUAAGUUUGAAAGAUGCAAUUGCAUCACUCAAAGAUGAUCCCGCGUUGUAUUAGCUAGUUGGUGAGGUAAAGGCUCACCAAGGCGAUGAUACAUAGCCGACCUGAGAGGGUGAUCGGCCACAUUGGGACUGAGACACGGCCCAAACUCCUACGGGAGGCAGCAGUAGGGAAUCUUCGGCAAUGGACGAAAGUCUGACCGAGCAACGCCGCGUGAGUGAAGAAGGUUUUCGGAUCGUAAAACUCGGUUGGUAGAGAAGAACGUUGGUGAGAGUGGAAAGCUCAUCAAGUGACGGUAACUACCCAGAAAGGGACGGCUAACUACGUG
rnacentral:rRNA from 1 species